rnacentral:rRNA from 1 species
UGACGACGCGGCGUACGGGUGCGGAACACGUGUGCAACCUGCCUUUAUCUGGGGGAUAGCCUUUCGAAAGGAAGAUUAAUACCCAUAAUAUGUUGAAUGGCAUCAUUCGACAUUGAAAACUCCGGUGGAUACGAGAUGGGCACGCGCAAGAUUAGAUCAGUUGGUGAGGUAACGGUUCACCAAGUCUACGAUCUUUAGGGGGCCUGAGAGGGUGAUCCCCCAACUGGUACUGAGACACGGACCAGACUCCUACGGGAGGCAGCCAGUGAGGAAUAUUGGACAAUGGGUGAGAGCCUGAUCCAGCCAUCCCGCGUGAAGGACGACUGCCCUAUGGGUUGUAAACUUCUUUGUAUAGGGAUAAACCUACCCUCGUGCAGGGUNAGCUGAAGGUACUAUACGAAUAAGCACCGGCUAACUCCGUGCCAGCAGCCGCGGUAAUACGGAGGGUGCAAGCGUNUAUCCGGAUUUAUUGGGUUUAGAGGGUCCGUAGGCGGAUCUGUAAGUCAGUGGUGAAAUCUCACAGCUUAACUGUGAAAUGCAUUGAUACUGCAAGGUCUUGAGUGUAAGUGAAGUAGCUGGAAUAAGUAGUGUAGCGGUGAA